rnacentral:RNase_P_RNA from 1 species
GUGAGCUGGAGCACGACACGCUGCUACGGCAGAGGAAACUCCUCCCUCCAUACAGGAAAUGUGAUCUGGAGAUAGAUAAUCAGAGAUGAUUGGCAACGGAGCAGAAAAUAAUCCAAUAUGGCAUACACAAUGAUGGCAAAACCUGAGAUUCCCAUAAAAGGAAUGAAAAAGACGACCCACAUGGAGCAAAGCCAAACAGAACUCAAAGAUCCUGUACUAAGUUCAGGUAGGCUGCAAAGCGAAAUAUCGUGAAAACAAAAGGAGGGUUACUCCCAGCACAC